UUUAGUUAUUUAAUACUCAUGUUGGGUGAGUAGGUUAAUUCAAAUAUGUUGGUUUCACAAUGAUUUUAUGAAUUCAGUGUCACUAGUGACUCCUUUAAUGAUUUUCAUAUUCAAUGUGGUUCUGAAUCGGUAGCAAUGGAAUUACAAUUGGAUACCAUAACAAAAAAUGCUAAUGAUGGAUAGGCCUCUUGGUUGGUAAAACUUUCUAAUUACCCAGUAUUACAAUAUAUUGACAUUGUUAAUAAAUCAUCAAACUUCCAGAUUACAGUUAUUGUAAUUUGUAAAAAUAUGAUAUAAUUUAUUUACCA